rnacentral:rRNA from 1 species
CCUACGGGUGGCAGCAGUCGAGAAUCAUUCACAAUGGGGGAAACCCUGAUGGUGCGACGCCGCGUGGGGGAAUGAAGGUCUUCGGAUUGUAAACCCCUGUCAUGUGGGAGCAAAUUAAAAAGAUCGUACCACAAGAGGAAGAGACGGCUAACUCUGUGUCAGCAGCCGCGGUAAUACAGAGGUCUCAAGCGUUGUUCGGAAUCACUGGGCGUAAGGCGUGCGUAGGCUGUUUCGUAAGUCGUGUGUGAAAGGCGCGGGCUCAACCCGCGGACGGCACAUGAUACUGCGAGACUAGAGUAAUGGAGGGGGAACCGGAAUUCUCGGUGUAGCAGUGAAAUGCGUAGAUAUCGAGAGGAACACUCGUGGCGAAGGCGGGUUCCUGGACAUUAACUGACGCUGAGGCACGAAGGCCAGGGGAGCGAAAGGGAUUAGAUACCCUAGUAGUC